CGCUUGGUGAUUCGCGCCUAAUGGCCGA
rnacentral:sRNA from 1 species